rnacentral:tRNA from 2 species
AUUUAUAUAGUUUAAUAAAACAUUACAUUUUCAUUGUAAAAUUAGAAAUUUUUCUUAUAAAUA